AACAAACAUGGAUUCCCCUAGUAGCGGCGAGCGAAGCGGGAUGAGCCCAGAUUUGAAAGCUCCCUUGCGGGCGCAUUGUAAGCUGGAGACGUGCCUCGUGCGGUGCGGCUGGACGCCAAGUCUGCUGGAAAGCAGCAUCAGAGAGGGUGAGAAUCCCGUGCUUGGUCUGGCCUGGUGCCGUGUUGUGGGGUGCGCUCGACGAGUCGCGUUGUUUGGGAAUGCAGCGCAAAGAGGGGUGGUAAAGGCCAUCCAAGGCUAAAUAUGGGGGAGAGACCGAUAGCGAACAAGUACCGUGAGGGAAAGAUGAAAAGCACUUUGGAAAGAGAGUUAAAGAGUACGUGAAAUUGCCAAAAGGGAAGCGUUGGAAGUCAGUGCCGGAGCGGCGCCUCGUCUGCCCCCUCUCGGGGGGUGUACUGUGGCGGCGUGGGGCCCAUGUCGGUUGCGUGUGGGGGAGAAGGCGGCGCGGAAGGUGGCUUUCCCUCUGGGGGGAGUGUUAUAGCCGCGCUGUGGAUGCCCCGCAUGCGACCGAGGACUGNUGUUGAGUGGACAUGGGCUUAAUGGCUUU
rnacentral:rRNA from 1 species